rnacentral:rRNA from 1 species
GGGUUGUGAGGUUAAGCGACUAAGCGUACACGGUGGAUGCCCUGGCAGUCAGAGGCGAUGAAGGACGUGCUAAUCUGCGAUAAGCGUCGGUAAGGUGAUAUGAACCGUUAUAACCGGCGAUUUCCGAAUGGGGAAACCCAGUGUGAUUCGUCACACUAUCAUUAACUGAAUCCAUAGGUUAAUGAGGCGAACCGGGGGAACUGAAACAUCUAAGUACCCCGAGGAAAAGAAAUCAACCGAGAUUCCCCCAGUAGCGGCGAGCGAACGGGGAGGAGCCCAGAGCCUGAAUCAGUGUGUGUGUUAGUGGAAGCGUCUGGAAAGGCGCGCGAUACAGGGUGACAGCCCCGUACACAAAAAUGCACAUGCUGUGAGCUCGAUGAGUAGGGCGGGACACGUGGUAUCCUGUCUGAAUAUGGGGGGACCAUCCUCCAAGGCUAAAUACUCCUGACUGACCGAUAGUGAACCAGUACCGUGAGGGAAAGGCGAAAAGAACCCCGGCGAGGGGAGUGAAAAAGAACCUGAAACCGUGUACGUACAAGCAGUGGGAGCACGCUUCGGCGUGUGACUGCGUACCUUUUGUAUAAUGGGUCAGCGACUUAUAUUCUGUAGCAAGGUUAACCGAAUAGGGGAGCCGAAGGGAAACCGAGUCUUAACUGGGCGUUAAGUUGCAGGGUAUAGACCCGAAACCCGGUGAUCUAGCCAUGGGCAGGUUGAAGGUUGGGUAACACUAACUGGAGGACCGAACCGACUAAUGUUGAAAAAUUAGCGGAUGACUUGUGGCUGGGGGUGAAAGGCCAAUCAAACCGGGAGAUAGCUGGUUCUCCCCGAAAGCUAUUUAGGUAGCGCCUCGUGAAUUCAUCUCCGGGGGUAGAGCACUGUUUCGGCAAGGGGGUCAUCCCGACUUACCAACCCGAUGCAAACUGCGAAUACCGGAGAAUGUUAUCACGGGAGACACACGGCGGGUGCUAACGUCCGUCGUGAAGAGGGAAACAACCCAGACCGCCAGCUAAGGUCCCAAAGUCAUGGUUAAGUGGGAAACGAUGUGGGAAGGCCCAGACAGCCAGGAUGUUGGCUUAGAAGCAGCCAUCAUUUAAAGAAAGCGUAAUAGCUCACUGGUCGAGUCGGCCUGCGCGGAAGAUGUAACGGGGCUAAACCAUGCACCGAAGCUGCGGCAGCGACGCUUAUGCGUUGUUGGGUAGGGGAGCGUUCUGUAAGCCUGUGAAGGUGUACUGUGAGGUAUGCUGGAGGUAUCAGAAGUGCGAAUGCUGACAUAAGUAACGAUAAAGCGGGUGAAAAGCCCGCUCGCCGGAAGACCAAGGGUUCCUGUCCAACGUUAAUCGGGGCAGGGUGAGUCGACCCCUAAGGCGAGGCCGAAAGGCGUAGUCGAUGGGAAACAGGUUAAUAUUCCUGUACUUGGUGUUACUGCGAAGGGGGGACGGAGAAGGCUAUGUUGGCCGGGCGACGGUUGUCCCGGUUUAAGCGUGUAGGCUGGUUUUCCAGGCAAAUCCGGAAAAUCAAGGCUGAGGCGUGAUGACGAGGCACUACGGUGCUGAAGCAACAAAUGCCCUGCUUCCAGGAAAAGCCUCUAAGCAUCAGGUAACAUCAAAUCGUACCCCAAACCGACACAGGUGGUCAGGUAGAGAAUACCAAGGCGCUUGAGAGAACUCGGGUGAAGGAACUAGGCAAAAUGGUGCCGUAACUUCGGGAGAAGGCACGCUGAUAUGUAGGUGAAGCGACUUGCUCGUGGAGCUGAAAUCAGUCGAAGAUACCAGCUGGCUGCAACUGUUUAUUAAAAACACAGCACUGUGCAAACACGAAAGUGGACGUAUACGGUGUGACGCCUGCCCGGUGCCGGAAGGUUAAUUGAUGGGGUUAGCGCAAGCGAAGCUCUUGAUCGAAGCCCCGGUAAACGGCGGCCGUAACUAUAACGGUCCUAAGGUAGCGAAAUUCCUUGUCGGGUAAGUUCCGACCUGCACGAAUGGCGUAAUGAUGGCCAGGCUGUCUCCACCCGAGACUCAGUGAAAUUGAACUCGCUGUGAAGAUGCAGUGUACCCGCGGCAAGACGGAAAGACCCCGUGAACCUUUACUAUAGCUUGACACUGAACAUUGAGCCUUGAUGUGUAGGAUAGGUGGGAGGCUUUGAAGUGUGGACGCCAGUCUGCAUGGAGCCGACCUUGAAAUACCACCCUUUAAUGUUUGAUGUUCUAACGUUGGCCCCUGAUCGGGGUUGCGGACAGUGUCUGGUGGGUAGUUUGACUGGGGCGGUCUCCUCCUAAAGAGUAACGGAGGAGCACGAAGGUUGGCUAAUCCUGGUCGGACAUCAGGAGGUUAGUGCAAUGGCAUAAGCCAGCUUGACUGCGAGCGUGACGGCGCGAGCAGGUGCGAAAGCAGGUCAUAGUGAUCCGGUGGUUCUGAAUGGAAGGGCCAUCGCUCAACGGAUAAAAGGUACUCCGGGGAUAACAGGCUGAUACCGCCCAAGAGUUCAUAUCGACGGCGGUGUUUGGCACCUCGAUGUCGGCUCAUCACAUCCUGGGGCUGAAGUAGGUCCCAAGGGUAUGGCUGUUCGCCAUUUAAAGUGGUACGCGAGCUGGGUUUAGAACGUCGUGAGACAGUUCGGUCCCUAUCUGCCGUGGGCGCUGGAGAACUGAGGGGGGCUGCUCCUAGUACGAGAGGACCGGAGUGGACGCAUCACUGGUGUUCGGGUUGUCAUGCCAAUGGCACUGCCCGGUAGCUAAAUGCGGAAGAGAUAAGUGCUGAAAGCAUCUAAGCACGAAACUUGCCCCGAGAUGAGUUCUCCCUGACUCCCUGAGAGUCCUGAAGGAACGUUGAAGACGACGACGUUGAUAGGCCGGGUGUGUAAGCGCAGCGAUGCGUUGAGCUAACCGGUACUAAUGAACCGUGAGGCUUAACCUUACAACGCCGAAG